AACCACAAUUUCCACCUGGUCCUC
rnacentral:siRNA from 1 species